GCCCCUGUAGCUCAAUGGAUAGAGCAGCGGCCUUCUAAGCCGAUGGUUGCAGGUUCGAGUCCUGCCAGGGGUG
rnacentral:tRNA from 1 species